CCUACGGGCGGCAGCAGUAGGGAAUCUUUCACAAUGGGCGAAAGCCUGAUGGAGCAACGCCGCGUGCAGGAUGAAGGCCUUCGGGUUGUAAACUGCUUUUAUAAGCGAGAAAUAUGAUGGUAACUUAUGAAUAAGGAUCGGCCAACUACGUGCCAGCAGCCGCGGUCAUACGUAGGAUCCGAGCAUUAUCCGGAGUGUCUGGGUGUAAAGAGUUGCGUUGGUGGGCUAAUAAGUAGCUAGUGAAAUCUGGUGGCGCAACCAUUCAGACUAUUAGCUAAACUGUUAAGCUCGAGACCGUUAGGGGCAUCUGGAAUUUCUAGUGUAGGAGUGAAAUCCGUAGAUAUUAGAAGGAACACCGAUAGCGUAGGCAGGAUGCUGGGACGGUUCUGACACUGAGGCACGAAGGCGUAGGGAGCAAACGGGAUUAGAUACCCGGGUAGUC
rnacentral:rRNA from 1 species